GGUGCAGGUUUUUAAACUCUUCAAAAGCUGCCUUCAGUGGCAUAUUUCCUUCAAUAAGGCCACACCUCUUAAACUUCUCCAAACAGCACCUUCAAUUGGGGGAAUAAAUGCACACAUGAGCCUUUGGGGAACAUUGUUGUUCAAAGCAUCACACUAUUUCACUAAAAUCAAACUCAAUUUAACUUUUGUCCCACUUCUUCUGUCUUUAAGAAAACCCAACUCUAUGAAGUGUUUAUAUUUUUCCUUACUCACAGGAGCAUCCACUGAACAUGUGAAGAUGAGUGUUUAUAAAUUUCUUGACUCCUUAUCCUUGUUUCCUACUUAAACUUCAAAAGCCCUGGAAGAAGAUUCAGAGGUCAUACCUAGCCUGUCUUAUAAUCAUCUCCACUAAGGUUGUUGAUUACAUUUAGAGCAAAAAACACACCCCCAAACCAAUCCAUGCAUGUGUGCCAUACCAUCUUACUAUUUCCAACCUUAAUUGUUCUUUCAGUACCGAACAGAAAUCCUUGCGGCAUGCUUCUUUAUGCUGUUCUUUUGCUUAUCUUUCAAAUGGUUAACAUCUCGGCCAAUUUCCCAAAAUGAUCUUGCUUUUCCAACACUGAUAAUAGAAUACAAUAGCUGGGAUAGUUUCCCAUAUACACCACCUAUCAUCAACUUCUAGAGACUGCUUUGUGUCCAUGCCUACUCUUGUCUCCUACUCAUGUCUCCAUAGAAUUUUUGUCUUCUAUCCAGAAGGAAUGUUGCUAGCUGUGCUCUAGCUUCCUCUCCUUCUCCUCUCCAGAAAUUUUGUAGCAAUUGUUUCCUCUCUUUUCAUUGGCUUUACUUCCUAAAAAUGUCUAGGCAUGCUCAUUCUCAAAAUACACUCAUGUGUUGUGGAUAUUAAAGAACUAUCAUACAUUUUCUCCUUUCUGUUAUUAAUCAGAAAUUCCUUAACACAUUUGUUCUUAUCUUUAUAAAAAAAACAGUACUCAGUGAAUAUCGAGUAUAUACACACAUUCUGGUCUGUGAACCUAGUGUAUAGGAGAACAUUUUUCAAAAGUAAGUGCUUGUCCUUAUAGCGUUUAAAUAGAAAUCCUAUACUCAGAGAUCAAAUAAACAAGAUUAUUGCCAUGUCAGUAAGUAUUAUACUCUACACAAAGAACUACAGGCAACCAAGGAAUGCCCAGAGCAGGAGAAAUAAUUUUCCCUAGGGAAGAAUACACUGUCUGGUUCUUCAAUACCAACUGCUCAGCCCUGAAAACAUAUAUAUGAGAUUAUUAUACAGACUGAGCGGGUUAUAUUAGGAAUAUAUAUGUAUAUACAUAUAUGUGCAUAUAACAACAACCAAUGAAAAACGAAGCCAUGACUUUGAAAGAGCAAGGAGAGUUGUUUAUAUGACAAGGUUUGGAGGGAAAAAAGGGAAAAAAGAAAUGUGUCUACAGUAUAAUCUCAACAACAAAAGAAAAACUACAAAGGAAUAUUAUGAAUUAAAAAGCAUACAACAGAAAAUAACUACUGCAGGUUCAAAAGACUGUUGUACUCUAAUAGAGUAUGGGUUGGGAAGACCUCUGGAGGACAUUACCUAUAAGCUGAGAAAGUUGAGGCCAUUACAAACUGUGAAUGGCAAAUUCAGUCUUUCAAGGGAGCAUCAACCUAUGCCACUCUUUUUCCCAGCCUGUAACCUUGGUGUCACAUUUAAAAGAGUUCCAAGCCUAAGAAGCUCUUAGGUCAUUGAGGUUGGAACUUGCUGCGUUGAGAUUUGAGAGCUGGUUGACAAAUCACUUCUUCUCCACAUAAAACUCUGUAUGUAGCAAGUAUCUCAUGAUGAUCAUCAGAAACUUUAAAAUUAUGUUUGCAACUUUUAAAAGUUAAGUGGCGGACGUGUUAAACCCUCCGUGUGGUUCUGGUCCUGGCAAUAACAACUUAUUGAGAGUUUUCUAUGGGAAAGACAGUUUAAAACACUUUAGAUGGAUUGCUUUUUUAAUUACUUGAACUGUCAUAAGGAUUAACGGGAAGAAAAGUUACCAAAAUGCAAAAAUGCACAGGGCCCUAAUCAUAGGGAGUAGUGAAAACGGCUAGCUGGCAGGUGCUGAAAUUGCAACCUUCUCCUUUAACUCUGAGCAGCGAGUGGGCGGGGCCGCGUCCAUCAGUGUCUAGGUGCCCGCAGGCCGCCCUAAGGGCCAAUGGCGCGGAAAUGAGAGCCCGGGCCACGUGAUGGCGGGUGGCACUCUGGCUUUCCUAAAGCAGUCUCUAUGGUAUUCUUCCAAGCAAACCCAGGGCCCCCCCAAAAGGGUAGCGGCACGUGACAGGCCCUGGGACUACGGCAGGUUCCCACGUGAUCCUGGCCUGCAGUAGCGUGGUUGCGGUGAGGUUCUUGCGCUCCUGAAGGGCGGGCGCGGAAGUAAGAGCAUCCUCAGGCGGACCGUGACUGGCAGCGAGGUCGGGAGGAGCCACCAGGCAGUGACCGCUUUGCUUCUGCAGCUCCGCUCCGCUCAUUCCGUUAUCUCAGCCUUUGCAGUCUGUACAGAAGCUGACCAAGUUACCUUUGGGUCUUGAGACCUUGGCGAGUGAGGCCCAAACUCGGGACCAACUCCUCAUCCACCUUGCCCUCCCUCUCCUCCAUCUCUUCCUUUGCACGCACCGAAUCGAAUCGCUUGCUCCUUUGGGCUGGCCUGCUCGGCUGUGCCUGGAGACUAAGUUCGGGUCGGUAAAGGUAACUGUGGGAAAAGCGGCCCCCCAGUGGACAAAGGCGGAGGCAGGGAUAGAUCAGGCCCCGCGGGCCCUGGGUGCUGAGCGUAGGCAGGUGAGCCAGAAGAACGGUACUGCGGAUUUAGAAGGCACUGUGAAGGACUUGUUGCACGAUGGAAGAAUCUGACUCCGAGAAAAAGACAGAGAAAGAGAAUGUGGGCCCAAAAGUGGAGCCUCCUCUAGGGGAGCCGGAAGGAUCGCUUGGGUGGGCAAUGCCAAAUGCAGCCAUGAAGAAAAAGGUCCUGUUGAUGGGUAAAAGUGGAUCUGGUAAGACCAGCAUGAGGUCUAUUAUCUUUGCAAAUUAUAUUGCCAGAGACACACGUCGUCUUGGUGCAACAAUACUAGACCGUAUACAUAGUCUUCAAAUUAAUAGCAGUUUGAGCACCUACUCUCUCGUAGACUCUGUUGGAAAUACAAAGACAUUUGAUGUAGAACAUUCUCAUGUUCGAUUUCUGGGAAACCUGGUUUUGAACCUGUGGGAUUGUGGUGGACAAGAUACCUUCAUGGAAAAUUAUUUCACUAGCCAGCGUGACAACAUCUUCCGAAAUGUGGAGGUUCUGAUUUAUGUCUUUGAUGUGGAGAGCCGUGAACUUGAAAAGGACAUGCACUACUAUCAGUCAUGCCUUGAGGCUAUUCUGCAGAAUUCUCCAGAAGCCAAAAUCUUUUGCUUGGUACACAAAAUGGAUUUGGUACAGGAAGAUCAGCGAGACUUGAUAUUUAAAGAACGAGAAGAGGACUUAAGGCGUUUAUCGCGUCCGCUAGAAUGUUCUUGUUUCCGAACAUCUAUCUGGGAUGAAACUCUGUAUAAGGUAACCGGGAAUAAGGAUGGACAUGACACACUGAUAAGAACCAGCUGCGGUGUGAAGGAUGGCAAUACAUAACACGACCAAAGACAAUUGGCUAAUCACAACACUGCUGUGAGUGACAGUGUCUCUGCUGUGGUUAGCUUUGGUGCCUUCUCCAAGGCAUGGUCCAGCAUUGUUUAUCAGCUGAUUCCCAAUGUUCAGCAACUGGAAAUGAACCUGCGGAAUUUUGCUGAAAUUAUUGAGGCUGAUGAAGUUCUUCUGUUUGAAAGAGCUACCUUUCUGGUGAUUUCUCAUUAUCAGUGUAAAGAACAGCGAGAUGCCCACCGAUUUGAGAAAAUCAGCAACAUUAUUAAGCAAUUCAAGCUGAGCUGUAGCAAGCUGGCUGCCUCUUUCCAGAGUAUGGAAGUGAGGAACUCUAACUUUGCUGCUUUCAUUGACAUAUUCACAUCCAACACUUACGUCAUGGUCGUGAUGUCUGAUCCAUCCAUUCCUUCUGCAGCUACUCUGAUCAACAUCCGCAAUGCCAGAAAACACUUUGAAAAGCUGGAGAGAGUGGAUGGACCAAAACAGUGUCUUCUCAUGCGCUAAACAUUGCUGAAUAUUGUUUCACACAAAAAUUGAAACACUGUUUCUUAAUUUUAUUGUUGUAUUCAUAUAUGUAGGAUUUGAAAUAUUGUGAUGCCCACCACGUCUGUAUUUCUUCUCUACUCCCCAGUCUUAACGUUUAUCUUUGAAUGCUAUUUAUUCAAAUAGCGUGAGGAGUUAGAAGAUGAGGUGUCUAUGAUGUUGAUGUAAUGUAUACGUAGGCGAUAUAUGUAAGUGUUCUGAUAACAUGACUCUAAUGGUGUUUAAGUGUUCUGAUAACCUGCUUUUAAUAGUUGUGUAUGCCAAAGUCUUUCCCAGCACCUCUUGUAUUCAUUAUCAAAUAUAUACAUGUAAGUUUGAAGUAUUACUGUUUUCUCAGCAUGAAUUAAAAAUAUUCUGUAACUCAGCCAGGCAAGGUAGCUCAUGCCUGUGAUCCCAGCAUUUGGGAAACAGAGGCAAGAGGAUUGCUGCAAGUUUAAGGCCAGCCUGUCUACAUAGGGAGGUCCAGGCCAGGGAUGUAUAUCAAGAUCUUGUUUCAAAAAAUUAUAUAUAUAUAUAUAUAUAUAUAUAUAUAUAUAUAUAUAUAUAUACCUUAACUUCACUUCAAUGUAAAUAAACUUCUGCUGUUAGGGA